UACAUGGGGUGCAAACGUUGCUCGGAAUUAUUGGGCGUAAAGCGCACGUAGGCGGUCUGUUAAGUCGGAUGUGAAAGCCCUCGGCUCAACUGAGGAAGUGCACCCGAAACUGGCAGGCUUGAGUACUAAAGAGGGUCGCGGAAUUCCCGGUGUAGAGGUGAAAUUCGUAGAUAUCUGGAGGAACACCGGUGGCGAAGGCGGCAUCCUGGACCGGUAUUGACGCUGAGGCGCGAAAGCCAGGGGAGCAAACGGG
rnacentral:rRNA from 1 species